rnacentral:rRNA from 1 species
GACGAACGCUGGCGGCGCGCCUAACACAUGCAAGUCGAACGAGCGAGAGAGAGCUUGCUUUCUCGAGCGAGUGGCGAACGGGUGAGUAACGCGUGAGGAACCUGCCUCAAAGAGGGGGACAACAGUUGGAAACGACUGCUAAUACCGCAUAAGCCCACGGCUCGGCAUCGAGCAGGGGGAAAAGGAGCAAUCCGCUUUGAGAUGGCCUCGCGUCCGAUUAGCUAGUUGGUGGGGUAACGGCCCACCAAGGCGACGAUCGGUAGCCGAACUGAGAGGUUGAACGGCCACAUUGGGACUGAGACACGGCCCAGACUCCUACGGGAGGCAGCAGUGGGGAAUAUUGCACAAUGGGGGAAACCCUGAUGCAGCGACGCCGCGUGGAGGAAGAAGGUCUUCGGAUUGUAAACUCCUGUUGUUGGGGAAGAUAAUGACGGUACCCAACAAGGAAGUGACGGCUAACUACGUG